UCUCCUGAGGAGCGUUGCAACCCACGGCAUGUGGUCUAGGCUCAGGACUUCUAUUUGCAACCACGCUCACCCGCA
rnacentral:ncRNA from 18 species